UACAGAGGGUGCGAGCGUUAAUCGGAAUUACUGGGCGUAAAGCGUGCGCAGGCGGCUUUGCAAGACAGAUGUGAAAUCCCCGGGCUCAACCUGGGAACUGCCUUUGAUACUGGGUAUCUUGAGUAUGGAAGAGGUGAGUGGAAUUCCGAGUGUAGAGGUGAAAUUCGUAGAUAUUCGGAGGAACACCAGUGGCGAAGGCAGCCAUCUGGCCUAAUACUGACACUGAGGUGCGAAAGCAUGGGGAGCAAACAGG
rnacentral:rRNA from 1 species